rnacentral:rRNA from 1 species
CAGUAGCCACGGUAAUACGAAGGGUGCAAGCGUUACUCGGAAUUACUGGGCGUAAAGCGUGCGUAGGUGGUGGUUUAAGUCCGUUGUGAAAGCCCUGGGCUCAACCUGGGAAUUGCAGUGGAUACUGGGUCACUAGAGUGUGGUAGAGGAUAGUGGAAUUUCCGGUGUAGCAGUGAAAUGCGUAGAGAUCGGAAGGAACAUCUGUGGCGAAGGCGACUAUCUGGGCCAACACUGACACUGAGGCACGAAAGCGUGGGGAGCAAACAGGAUUAGAUACCCCAGUAGUCCCUGUCUCUUAUAA